rnacentral:rRNA from 1 species
GAUGAACGCUGGCGGCGUGCCUAAUACAUGCAAGUCGAGCGAACAGACGAGGAGCUUGCUCCUCUGACGUUAGCGGCGGACGGGUGAGUAACACGUGGAUAACCUACCUAUAAGACUGGGAUAACUUCGGGAAACCGGAGCUAAUACCGGAUAAUAUCUUGAACCGCAUGGUUCAAUAGUGAAAGACGGUUUUGCUGUCACUUAUAGAUGGAUCCGCGCCGCAUUAGCUAGUUGGUAAGGUAACGGCUUACCAAGGCAACGAUGCGUAGCCGACCUGAGAGGGUGAUCGGCCACACUGGAACUGAGACAAGGUCCAGACUCCUAAGGGAGGCAGCAGUAGGGAAACUUCCGCAAUGGGCGAAAGCCUGACGGGGCAAAGCCGCGUGGGUGAUGAAGGUCUUCGGAUCGUAAAACUCUGUUAUUAGGGAAGAACAAAUGGGGAAGUAACUAUGCACGUCUUGACGGUACCUAAUCAGAAAGCCACGGCUAACUACGUG